rnacentral:ncRNA from 1 species
CUUAUCCAGAGCGGCUGAGGGACUGGCCCAAUGAAGCCCGGCAACCGGCGGAAAACCGCAAGGUGCUAAUUCCAGCAGCGCGGCAACGCGCUGGCAGAUAAG